rnacentral:rRNA from 1 species
UGCGGUUUAAUCGGACUCAACGCCGGGAAACUCACCAGAUAAGACAGCUGAAUGAUAGUCGGGCUGAAGACUCUACUUGACUAGCUGAGAGGAGGUGCAUGGCCGUCGUCAGUUCGUACUGUGAAGCAUCCUGUUAAGUCAGGCAACGAGCGAGACCCACGCCAACAGUUGCCAGCUCGUCCUCCGGGAUGGUGGGGACACUGUUGGGACCGCCUCUGCUAAAGAGGAGGAAGGAAUGGGCAACGGUAGGUCAGCAUGCCCCGAAUUAUCUGGGCUACACGCGGGCUACAAUGGGUGGGACAAUGGGUAUCGACACCGAAAGGUGAAGGCAACCUCCUAAACCCAUCCGUAGUUCGGAUUGUGGGCUGCAACUCGCCCACAUGAAGCUGGAAUCUGUAGUAAUCGUGUCUCAAAAUGGCACGGUGAAUAUGUCCCUGCUCCUU